CUUGUACAAUAAAAUACCACUCUUCCUCGUAAUGUGCCCAAAGAACUCGAGGAUUUGCAACUGUACAAGCUACGUAAGUCUUUGAUUUCUUUUCAAU